GUAGGUGAACCUGCGGAAGGAUCAUUACCGAGUUAGGGUGCCUCGUCGCGCCCGACCUCCAACCCUUUGCUUACUUGACCUAUUUUGUUGCUUCGGCAGGCCCGCCGCCCGGAAACGGGUGGCCGCCGGGGGCGUUUCACCGCCCCGGGCCCGCGCCUGUCGAUGGCCCUAUUAAAACUCUUGUCAAAACGUGUCGUCUGAGUUUAUCUAAACAAAUACAAACCAAAACUUUCAACAACGGAUCUCUUGG
rnacentral:misc_RNA from 1 species